AUUGAACGCUGGCGGCAUGCUUUACACAUGCAAGUCGAACGGUAACAGGCCGCAAGGUGCUGACGAGUGGCGAACGGGUGAGUAAUGCAUCGGAACGUGCCCAGUCGUGGGGGAUAACGCAGCGAAAGCUGCGCUAAUACCGCAUACGAUCUAUGGAUGAAAGCGGGGGACCGUAAGGCCUCGCGCGAUUGGAGCGGCCGAUGUCAGAUUAGGUAGUUGGUGGGGUAAAGGCUCACCAAGCCGACGAUCUGUAGCUGGUCUGAGAGGACGACCAGCCACACUGGGACUGAGACACGGCCCAGACUCCUACGGGAGGCAGCAGUGGGGAAUUUUGGACAAUGGGCGCAAGCCUGAUCCAGCAAUGCCGCGUGCAGGAAGAAGGCCUUCGGGUUGUAAACUGCUUUUGUACGGAACGAAACGGCUCUGGUUAAUACCUGGGGCUAAUGACGGUACCGUAAGAAUAGGCACCGGCUAACUACGUGCCAGCAGCCGCCGUAAUAC
rnacentral:rRNA from 1 species